rnacentral:rRNA from 1 species
CCUACGGGUGGCAGCAGUGGGGAAUAUUGCACAAUGGGCGCAAGCCUGAUGCAGCCAUGCCGCGUGUGUGAAGAAGGCCUUCGGGUUGUAAAGCACUUUCAGCGGGGAGGAAGGCGGUGAGGUUAAUAACCUCAUCGAUUGACGUUACCCGCAGAAGAAGCACCGGCUAACUCCGUGCCAGCAGCCGCGGUAAUACGGAGGGUGCAAGCGUUAAUCGGAAUUACUGGGCGUAAAGCGCACGCAGGCGGUCUGUCAAGUCGGAUGUGAAAUCCCCGGGCUCAACCUGGGAACUGCAUUCGAAACUAGCAGGCUAGAGUCUUGUAGAGGGGGGUAGAAUUCCAGGUGUAGCGGUGAAAUGCGUAGAGAUCUGGAGGAAUACCGGUGGCGAAGGCGGCCCCCUGGACAAAGACUGACGCUCAGGUGCGAAAGCGUGGGGAGCAAACAGGAUUAGAUACCCCAGUAGUC